CACACCGCCCGUCGCUACUACCGAUUGAAUGGUUCAGUGAGGCGUUCGGACUGGCCCAGGGAGGUCGGCAACGACCACCCAGGGCCGGAAAGUUCUCCAAACUCGAUCAUUUAGAGGAAGUAAAAGUCGUAACAAGGUCUCCGUUGGUGAACCAGCGGAGGGAUCAUUGCUGGAACAAACGCCCUCACGGGUGCUACCCAGAAACCCUUUUGUGAACUUAUACCAUAAACAUGUUGCCUCGGCAGUGGCUGGGCUCUCUCGGGAGCCCCCAGUACUCCUCGUAGUGCUGGAGCAGGCCGGCCGGUGGCCCUAUAAACUCUUGUUUGUACAGUGUCUCUUCUGAGUAAAACAACUAUAAAUGAAUCAAAACUUUCAACAACGGAUCUCUUGGUUCUGGCAUCGAUGAAGAACGCAGCGAAAUGCGAUAAGUAAUGUGAAUUGCAGAAUUCAGUGAAUCAUCGAAUCUUUGAACGCACAUUGCGCCCGCUGGUAUUCCAGCGGGCAUGCCUGUUCGAGCGUCAUUUCAACCCUCAGGCCUCGCCUGGUGUUGGGGCACUACCUGUCAAAGGGUAGGCCCUGAAAUUUAGUGGCGGGCUCGCUAGAACUCUGAGCGUAGUAAUUCUACCUCGCUUUGGAAGGACUAGCGGUGCUUCUAGCCGUAAAACCCCCCCAUUUUUCUGAAAGUUGACCUCGGAUCAGGUAGGAAUACCCGCUGAACUUAAGCAUAUCAAUAAGCGGAGGAAAAGAAACCAACAGGGAUUGCCCUAGUAACGGCGAGUGAAGCGGCAACAGCUCAAAUUUGAAAUCUGGCUUCGGCCCGAGUUGUAAUUUGCAGAGGAUGUUUUUGGCGCGGUGCCUUCCGAGUUCCCUGGAACGGGACGCCACAGAGGGUGAGAGCCCCGUAUGGUUGGACACCAAGCCUGUGUAAAACUCCUUCGACGAGUCGAGUAGUUUGGGAAUGCUGCUCUAAAUGGGAGGUAAAUCUCUUCUAAAGCUAAAUACCGGCCAGAGACCGAUAGCGCACAAGUAGAGUGAUCGAAAGAUGAAAAGCACCUUGAAAAGGGGGUUAAACAGUACGUGAAAUUGUUGAAAGGGAAGCGCUCAUGACCAGACUUGUGCCGUGCGGCUCAUCCGGGGUUCUCCCCGGUGCACUCCGCACGGCUCAGGCCAGCAUCGGUUCUCGUUGGGGGAUAAGAACAGUAGGAACGUGGCCCCCCUCGGGGGGUGUUAUAGCCUAUUGUACGAUACCCUGGCGGGGACCGAGGACCGCGCUUCGGCAAGGAUGCUGGCGUAAUGGUCAUCAGCGACCCGUCUUGAAACACGGACCAAGGAGUCGUCCAUUAGAGCGAGCGUUUGGGUGUAAAACCCGCACGCGUAAUGAAAGUGAAAUUAGGUGAGAGCUUCGGCGCAUCAUCGACCGAUCCUGAUGUUCUCGGAUGGAUUUGAGUAAGAGUUUUAACGGACGGACCCGAAAGACAGUGAACUAUGCUUGUAUAGGGUGAAGCCAGAGGAAACUCUGGUGGAGGCUCGCAGCGGUUCUGACGUGCAAAUCGAUCGUCAAAUAUGAGCAUGGGGGCGAAAGACUAAUCGAAC
rnacentral:rRNA from 1 species